CAGUAGCCGCGGGAAUACGAAGGGUGCAAGCGUUACUCGGAAUUACUGGGCGUAAAGCGUGCGUAGGUGGUGGUUUAAGUCCGUUGUGAAAGCCCUGGGCUCAACCUGGGAAUUGCAGUGGAUACUGGGUCACUAGAGUGUGGUAGAGGAUAGUGGAAUUUCCGGUGUAGCAGUGAAAUGCGUAGAGAUCGGAAGGAACAUCUGUGGCGAAGGCGACUAUCUGGGCCAACACUGACACUGAUGCACGAAAGCGUGGGGAGCAAACAGGAUUAGAUACCCCCGUAGUCCCUGUCUCUUAUAC
rnacentral:rRNA from 1 species